rnacentral:rRNA from 2 species
CUGCACUGAUUGAUUUGGUCGCCAACGAGUGGCGGACGGGUGAGUAACACGUAGGUAACCUGCCCAGAAGCGGGGGACAACAUUUGGAAACAGAUGCUAAUACCGCAUAACAACGUUGUUCGCAUGAACAACGCUUAAAAGAUGGCUUCUCGCUAUCACUUCUGGAUGGACUGCGGUGCAUUAGCUUGUUGGUGGGGUAAUGGCCUACCAAGGGCCGAUGAUGCAUAGCCGAGUUGAGAGACUGAUCGGCCACAAUGGGACUGAGACACGGCCCAUACUCCUACGGGAGGCAGCAGUAGGGAAUCUUCCACAAUGGGCGCAAGCCUGAUGGAGCAACACCGCGUGAGUGAAGAAGGGUUUCGGCUCGUAAAGCUCUGUUGUUAAAGAAGAACACGUAUGAGAGUAACUGUUCAUACGUUGACGGUAUUUAACCAGAAAGUCACGGCUAACUACGUGCCAGCAGCCGCGGUAAUACGUAGGUGGCAAGCGUUAUCCGGAUUUAUUGGGCGUAAAGAGAGUGCAGGCGGUUUUCUAAGUCUGAUGUGAAAGCCUUCGGCUUAACCGGAGAAGUGCAUCGGAAACUGGAUAACUUGAGUGCAGAAGAGGGUAGUGGAACUCCAUGUGUAGCGGUGGAAUGCGUAGAUAUAUGGAAGAACACCAGUGGCGAAGGCGGCUACCUGGUCUGCAACUGACGCUGAGACUCGAAAGCAUGGGUAGCGAACAGGAUUAGAUACCCUGGUAGUCCAUGCCGUAAACGAUGAGUGCUAGGUGUUGGAGGGUUUCCGCCCUUCAGUGCCGGAGCUAACGCAUUAAGCACUCCGCCUGGGGAGUACGACCGCAAGGUUGAAACUCAAAGGAAUUGACGGGGGCCCGCACAAGCGGUGGAGCAUGUGGUUUAAUUCGAAGCUACGCGAAGAACCUUACCAGGUCUUGACAUCUUGCGCCAACCCUAGAGAUAGGGCGUUUCCUUCGGGAACGCAAUGACAGGUGGUGCAUGGUCGUCGU